CUACGGGCUGCUCCAGUGAGGAAUAUUGCACAAUGGGGGGAACCCUGAUGCAGCAACGCCGCGUGGAGGAUGACGCAUUUCGGUGUGUAAACUCCUUUUAUAUGUCAAGAAAAUGACGGUAGCAUAUGAAUAAGCACCGGCUAACUCUGUGCCAGCAGCCGCGGUAAUACGGAGGGUGCAAGCGUUACUCGGAAUCACUGGGCGUAAAGGACGCGUAGGCGGGCUUGUAAGUCAGGUGUGAAAUCCUACAGCUUAACUGUAGAACUGCACUUGAAACUACGAGCCUAGAGUAUGGGAGGGGCAGAUGGAAUUAGUGGUGUAGGGGUAAAAUCCGUAGAUAUCACUAGGAAUACCUAAAGCGAAGGCGAUCUCCUGGAACAUUACUGACGCUAAGGCGUGAAAGCGUGGGGAGCAAACAGGAUUAGAUACCCCAGUAGUC
rnacentral:rRNA from 1 species